GGGGAAUAUUGGACAAUGGGCGAAAGCCUGAUCCAGCCAUGCCGCGUGAGUGAUGAAGGCCCUAGGGUUGUAAAGCUCUUUUGUGCGGGAAGAUAAUGACGGUACCGCAAGAAUAAGCCCCGGCUAACUUCGUGCCAGUAGCCGCGGUAAUACGAAGGGGGCUAGCGUUGCUCGGAAUCACUGGGCGUAAAGGGUGCGUAGGCGGGUUUCUAAGUCAGAGGUGAAAGCCUGGAGCUCAACUCCAGAACUGCCUUUGAUACUGGAAGGCUUGAGUUCGGGAGAGGUGAGUGGAACUGCGAGUGUAGAGGUGAAAUUCGUAGAUAUUCGCAAGAACACCAGUGGCGAAGGCGGCUCACUGGCCCGAUACUGACGCUGAGGCACGAAAGCGUGGGGAGCAAACA
rnacentral:rRNA from 1 species